rnacentral:rRNA from 1 species
UCCAGACUCCUACGGGAGGCAGCAGUGGGGAAUAUUGCACAAUGGGCGCAAGCCUGAUGCAGCCAUGCCGCGUGUAUGAAGAAGGCCUUCGGGUUGUAAAGUACUUUCAGCGGGGAGGAAGGCGAUAAGGUUAAUAACCUUGUCGAUUGACGUUACCCGCAGAAGAAGAACCGGCUAACUCCGUGCCAGCAGCCGCGGUAAUACGGAGGGUGCAAGCGUUAAUCGGAAUUACUGGGCGUAAAGCGCACGCAGGCGGUUUGAUAAGUCAGAUGUGAAAUCCCCGGGCUCAACCUGGGAACUGCAUCUGAAACUGGCGAGCUUGAGUCUCGUAGAGGGGAGUAGAAUUCCAGGCGUAGCGGUGGAAUGCGUAGAGAUCUGGAGGAAUGCCGGUGGCGAAGGCGGCCCCCUGGAC